AUGUGCUGUUUCCAUGCACGAAUACGUCCCACACAGCCUAUGAAGACCUGCCUGACAGCAAUCCCUGGACACCCUGGAAAGAAACUGGGCCAUAACUCCUUGACUGCACUGGAUCCUGCUUACUCAGUUUCAACUGACACUCCGAACAGAACUUCGGGUACUGACUUCAAUCAAGUUGAAGAUUUCAAGUGAGAUCAUCAAUCAAGCGAAUCCCAUCUAACAUGGACUGGAUAUAAUACAUUCAAGACUUUUACUAUACUAACAUUUUCUUCCUACAGGACGCCACAAGGCUAUCUCUGUCCCAUUUCAGCAGGAAGUAACUUGGCGGAUGCUAUGCCCCCUUUCCCCAUUGUUGUCACUUAGGAUAGUAUAUAUACAUAGUUAGGGAUAGCUUCCUAUUGUUUAUGGUUUGAAUUGGAAGGAGGUGUUCAUGCUUGGACACCUCUUUCAGAUGACUUUAGGGUUUAGUUAAAAUAGAUAGUUAGGAUGUAACAUAAGCAGAUUGUUGUGUGUUCUUAUAUUUCUCCUUUAUGAUUGUUAAUUUUGGAUACUUUACACUCUUAAGUUUUAAUCCUCUUUUAGACUAAAAGGGGAAUUGUAGGGGAUGCUGUAGCCUUGCCUGCUUAGGGGCUGGCUACAGGUGUGCCUGACCAUGCCUGCAAGGGUAUGGUCAGGUUGACCUAGAGUGAGGGAUGCUUACUUGGUGCUCUGCUUUCGCUUUCAUCUUUGGCUUGAUAUACUUACCACUGUCCCACCAGCUGGCUAGGACACUCUGUAAGUAAAGCUUUUCCCUAUUAAAUUCCCUUGUAUAUUUACCUGGCUCUAUAUUGGUAAUUUCCUACAUUAGAGAAAGUGUAAAAUAAGAAGUUUGGGGGAUUUUUGUCUGUGUGUACAUUUGAAACAUUUUAGUUCCAUGGACCUUGAGAUUCAGAGAGGGGGACCAAGAGCAGGGGACAGGGACAGAGACAGAGACACAGAGAGUGAAGGACAUCCCACCCUCAGGACUAGGGAAAGUAAGCAGGAAUAUUAGGGAACACAGAGAAGCAGAGGUGGACUGAAAGCAUCCCUGACUGAGGGAGUGUUUUGGUUUAUCAGGAACUGGAAGGCACACAGUGUCCCAGGGGCCGAGGACUCUGACCUGGUAACCUAUGACAUGUGCCUCUCAAUGUAGCUAGACUGGAACAACUCCAUG
rnacentral:lncRNA from 1 species